AUGCGAUGGUGGUCACGUAAGAUUAUAGAGGGGUCUUUCCUUUCUGCGCCCCGGGAGACCUCGGCGUUGCCACGGGCUGCGCCCCCGGUGUUGCUGGAACUGCAAGAACGAAUUUGCACCCCAAGCCUCGGUUCCGCUGGGGGCUGGGGAGUGUCCCCGAGGCCAACACGUGUAUCUUUGACCUGGGACGGAAGAAGGCAAAAGCCUUCCCCCUCUGGCCACAUGGUGAGAUCCCUACCUGGUGUCGGAUGAACGCGAGCCGCUCCACUCUGCAGCCGGGGAAGCUGCGCACAUUUAUGUCAAGCGCACGGUCAAAGUGGUGGCCGGGACGCUCUCACCUCCCAGGGCUUCCCCACCCCGUCCGCGUCAUCCUCAAUACAAGGUCUCGUCCUGCGCUGGGGCUGCAGGCUCCAGACAGGCCUGCAGGUGCCUGUGGAAAGCCCCCGCGGCCGGGGCCAGGUUCGCAGGGGCCGGGUUGUCAAGUCCGUCCGCACCAAACCGCGGAACACGGAGCACAUGACUGUGCAGGGCCAAGGACAGGUUCCCGGCGCCAGAAGACCCAGGUGUCGGAGACUGGGCUUUGCCACCUUCGAUUCGGAUGAAUUUGAAGACAUGUGGCUGAGAAGCGGCUCAUCCCAGAUGGCUGUAGGGUCCGAUACAUCCCCACUCGCGGCGCCCUGGGCAAGUAUCGGACUCUGAGCUCAUGA
rnacentral:lncRNA from 10 species